UGCGCCUGCAAAGGAGGCAGCCUUGUCCGCACAACUAUGUUUUGCAGGCAACAGGACAAGGUAUCCUCCCGUGAUCUGCAAUUUUGCAGAUUCAAAACCAUUC
rnacentral:sRNA from 1 species